GAUGAACGCUAGCGGCAGGCCUAACACAUGCAAGUCGAGGGGCAGCACAGAAACAGCAAUGUUUUGGUGGCGACCGGCGGACGGGUGCGUAACGCGUAUGCAACCUACCUUUAACAGGGGGAUAACGGAGAGAAAUUUCCACUAAUACCCCAUAACAUCGAUCAAGGCAUCUUGAUUGGUUGAAAACUCCGGUGGUUAAAGAUGGGCAUGCGUUGUAUUAGGUAGUUGGUGAGGUAAUGGCUCACCAAGCCUACGAUACAUAGGGGGACUGAGAGGUUAGCCCCCCACACUGGUACUGAGACACGGACCAGACUCCUACGGGAGGCAGCAGUGAGGAAUAUUGGUCAAUGGGGGCAACCCUGAACCAGCCAUGCCGCGUGCAGGGAGACGGCUCUAUGAGUUGUAAACUGCUUUUAAACAGGGAUAAAGCACAGUAUGUAUACUGUGUUGAAGGUACUGUAAGAAUAAGGAUCGGUUAACUCCGUGCCAGCCGCCGCCCGUAA
rnacentral:rRNA from 1 species